rnacentral:lncRNA from 1 species
GAUUAGCAAAGUUAGAAUGUCUAACUUGCAAGGUAAUAGAUCUGAUCUAUUAUAUUUUACAUACAUUAGAUGUAGUAUAGAAACAUGUUGAUAUGAUCAACAUGUAGUUCUUGCUCUUUAUAUUUUAAUUUUUGAUUUAAUGCCAUAUAAUAAUCAUGUAAUAGAAUCUUAGAUCUAGAGAUUCUCUAAUUUUAUAAGAUAAAUUUUGAUUUAUUUUAGUCUUUCGCUGCCUGAUCUUGAAAAAGUUUCAAGAUCUAACCCGAAACCCU